GAGGGCGAGUGCGGUUUCGGCGGUCUCGAAAACCGUCAGAGGCGGUUCGUCUCUCGAGGGUUCGAGUCCCUCCCCCUCCG
rnacentral:tRNA from 1 species